rnacentral:rRNA from 1 species
UACGAAGGGUGCAAGCGUUACUCGGAAUUACUGGGCGUAAAGGGUGCGUAGGUGGUCGUUUAAGUCCGUUGUGAAAUCCCUGGGCUCAACCUGGGAAUGGCAGUGGAUACUGGACGGCUAGAAUGCGGUAGAGGGUAGUGGAAUUCCCGGUGUAGCAGUGAAAUGCGCAGAUAUCGGGAGGAACACCCGUAGCGAAGGCGGCACUCUGGGCCGGUACUGACGCUGAGGCGCGAAAGCGUGGGGAGCAAACAGG